AAUAAAUGAAGUUAGGGCAAGUUUCAGACGACACAAACAAUGUCACAAUCUUCUUCGACACUACGCAGGGCGCAGCCUCCGCUAUCGCCUCAGGUGACAAGGACACUCUUCUUAGGAUCUCGUGAGGUUAUUUGCCUUGAACUUGAAUCAAAUCAUUGCAUAUUGAGCAUAUCUGUGUAUUAUGUAUUUGAAGCAAAGCAUGGAAAAGAGAAAUGUCCGAACUUGAAACAUGGUAAAGAAUUCAACUUUACGCAAAUAUUUGUGGAAAGAGAGAGAGAGAGAACUCACUUGUUUACACAGGUAAAAAGAUCAUUGCAUUCCUUCCAUGAUGCAAGAUCAUCAUACCAGAUUCCCUGUGUAGCAAUGGAAUAAUGAAAGCUAGCCGACUGUUGCCUAGUUGCUGUUGCUUACGUCGGUGAAGUUGUGGACUAUGUCUUCCUGGAGGAUGUUCAUGUCCUUCCCAUAGUAAUCUGCUGCAGCUGUGAGAACGAUUUCUCUAUCCCACACCUAUACAUUGCAAACGAGACAAAUUGUACAAUUAUAAGGAGCUAGGAAGUUAGGAAUUAUCAUAAAUAUUUUUCAACUAAUUUAAUUUAAUAUUCCGAUUGUUUUCCCAAAUAAAUAUGUGUGUGUAUACGUGUAUAUAUAUAUAUUCAUGACUUCUGAAUUUC